AGGGAGAGAGAUUUGGGUGGAUACAAAGGAUAUGGAGUAGUGAUGGGUUGCCGCCAAGAUUGUCCUAUACUAUGCUUCCAUGCUUCCGACAUUUGGAUCAAUCCUUAAAAGACAGACCCAUCUUGUAGAUCAAUAUCAUAUCACUUAGGGGAUGUAACGAUCUAACGGUGGGGGAUGUUUUCUAUGAAUCUAGUUUGUGGAUUGAUGUAGAGUUUAAUAUGGCAAUGUUACUAUGUAAUAGUAAAAAUCAGGACAUGGCUCAGUCCCUAAAGAGCCUUCCAAGGACCGGCCUAGCUAUGACCAAACCGUCAUAUCUCAUAUCCAUCAGUUGUUUUUGUCGUUGUUGACAUAUUAACCGCAAACCGACUCGUAG